ensembl:lncRNA
UGCUGUUAUGCCAGGUGUGCUGUUAUGCUACGUGUGCUGUUAUGCUACGUGUGCUGUUAUGCUACGUGUGCUGUUAUGCUACGUGUGCUGUUAUGCUACGUGUGCUGUUAUGCCAGGUGUGCUGUUAUGCCAGGUGUGUGCUGUUAUGCCAGGUGUGCUGUUAUGCCAAGUGUGCUGUUAUGCCAGGUGUGUGAUGUUAUGCCAGGUGCGCUGGUAUGCCAGGUGUGCUGUUAUGCCAGGUGCGCUGUUAUGCCAGGUGUGCUGUUAUGCUAUGUAUGGUGUGGUGCUCAUGUGAUUCCUAAUAACGAGUGGACCUGUCCGGGUGCUGGUUUGAACUCCUUGUGAACUGCCAGGGGUUCAAUCAGUCUCCCCGAUCCCACACAUGUCCUGCUGGACCACCACAAUCAGGAAGAGGCUAAUUGUGGCUCUAAUGUCAGCCACAUGCAUGCCCUUAGU